GCCAGUGUAGUAUAGUGGUUUGAGUGUUGGACUGUGACUCUGGAGACCAGGGUUCAAAUUCUUGUUUGGACA